UUAGAGAUUUAUGUGGUCGCAUGAAGCAAUUCAUGAGGAAAGUCCGAGCAGCAUAGAGUAAGGGUACCAGAUAACGUCUGGCUAGGGCGACCUAAGGUAAAGUGCAACAGAAAUAUACCGCUCGAAAGAGUAAGGGUGAAAAGGUGAGGUAAGAGCUCACAAACUUGUUAGGUAACUAACAUUUGCUGUAAACACUACCUGCUGCAAGAUAAGAGAAACAUUUAAAAGUUACUCGCUUCGUUUCUUGAUACAUCGCUUGAACAUGCUAGCAAUACCAUGUCUAGAUAGAUGACCACUUAAUACAGAACUCGGCUUAUUUAAUGUCUAACUAA
rnacentral:RNase_P_RNA from 1 species